AAGAACCAGCACAGCCAAAAAUAAACAAAAAUUAUUAAAAAAAAAAAAAAAAAACCUAUGAGGAGAGUAUUCCAUUAAAAUCAAUGGUUUUUGGAAUUCUAAACUGCUUUUUUAACCCAACUUGGGAAAGCCUUUGUCAUUUCUAGUUACAUCUGCUAUACAUUCAACCUACACACGGAUUCUUCUCAUCAGCUCCCGGGGGCUGUCACCUUGGCAUCAUUUUCCAAGGUGGGAACCACUUCAUGUGCUUGCAGUUUUGGGAGGCAAGGGACAUCAUCCUAGUCUCCAAUCUAACAGUCAUUUAUGGAGACUGGGGCCUCCGGAGAAACACCUUCCAUGGUGGGAGAAGUGUCCUGGAAGGUAGGCAAUUCGGGACUAAAACUCUAGCCUUGCCCAUGUUCUGCACGUGCGUCCUCAAUCGUGUCUGAUUCUUUGCGACCCCAUGGACUGUAGCCCACCAGGCUCCUCUGUCCAUGGGAUUCUCCAGGCAAGAAUACUGGAGUGGGUUGCCAUUUCCUUCUCCAGGGGAUCUUCCCAACCCAGGAAUUGAACCCUCAUCUCCUGUGGCUCCUAGCAUUGGCAGGCGGAUUCUUCACUACUGAGCCACGUGGUAAGAAUUUCUAAUCUAGAGCCUAGAGAUGAGGAAGGGCAAAUCUAAGGAAUUUGAUGCCUCUUCAUUACAGCCUACACUGUCAGGUUUGGGUCCUGCUCCCUCUGAAAGCCUAGCUUUGGUGGACAUGUCAGGACACAUUGCAGAGAUGGAGCAUUUGUAAAAUAAACACUCCAAGUUAUUAUAAAACAGCAACUAGCAUGUUAACACGCCAAGUACAAACCAAGCAAUGCCCCCCUUUUUGUUUUAAUUGAAAGUGGCAAAUCCUUUGUAGAGAGAGGCCACAUCUACACAGAUCAUGUAUUCACUGCUUAGACUUUGUGCUCAGUCACUUCAGUCGUGUCCGACUCUUUGCGACCCCACGGACUGAACCUUCGCCUCCUGCAUCUCUCGCACUACAGGCAGAUUCUUUACCACUCAGCCAUUUUACACUUUAGGGAUGGAAAAUUGACAACAAGCCUUAGCAAUAAGCACUAUGACGAAAUGAAAGCAGGAUCAAGUGAUACCAAAUGAUUUGUGUGUUGGGGGAUGCUCUCCAAGGAGGAGACAUUUGAGCUGAGCCCUGCAUCGGGAAAUGAGCUGGUUCCUUUGGGGUCCAGGGUUAGAAAGACCACUUAGCAAAAGGCCCCAAAGGAGGAACCAAGCCUGUGAGCCAGGACGUGGCAGAUGAAAAAGAGAGGAGAUGAAAUUAAGAGCAGAAGGGAGAUCAAGCCAAGGUUUGGCAUCUCGGCUGAGAAUAACAGCAAGUCCCUGAAAGUUUAGGAAAUCAAGACUUUGCAACCUCCAAAGAAAAUUAAAUGAUGAUCACUCAAGAAGCCUAAGGAAGAUUGACAGUGUCCCUUGAAGGGGAAAACAGAAGGGACAAGAAUGCAUGAGGGUGUCCUCUUUCAUCUUGCAGUUGAGAUAGAAUUACGAGUUGGGUGAUCUGAGAUGUCGUCUCCGUGCUCGGGUGAUUAAAAUUUCACGAUGGCGAGACUGAAAGUCAAUUAAAAUGGAAGGACAACUUCUUCGAAUAAAAGAGCUUGAAAGGGAACGGCACGCUAAUCACUUUCAUCUGCUUCGUUGGCAUUUGCUGGGAUCACUCAGUCUGUGUUCCAGAACAAGAGGGAGGCUCAAGAGAACUGAACUGAACGUGGCUUUUAUUUACAGUGGCGUUUUCGUUGUAGCCUCUUCCACAAUUUGAGCUUUGCUUUCCUCUGGACCAUCCAUCAGAUUUCAGCUCCUCCUCUGAAUGUUUGAUAGUUUCUUUCUCUUUUCCCCAGAGACCAGCUCUCAUAUCGGGCACCAUCAGCAAGGGUGAAAGGGACAAGGAUUAUUAAAUUCUGUGAACCAGGGCGACAACGAUGCUCGACCUGAACCUAGAACUGGAUCUCACGACUCGACAAAAUGCAGCCUCGUCAUCGCUGUUAGAACUGUGCCUGAAGCACAGAGUAUCUGCUGAGGACCCAAAUGUAGGAUUGAGAGAAAGAGGAAAGAGAGAAUGAGAGGGGAGGACAGCACUUGGCAGAGACCAGAGACAGGGCCUCUGCAAGGAGAAGUCCCUCCACAGUCAGUAAGAGCAACCAGAGCCGACACAAAGAACAGAAAUCACCACUCUCAUUUUUAGAGCGGGUGGGAGAACCAGCUGCCUUUUAAAUUCUCAGAAUGUCUUCAGAACAACUGUUUUGCAAAACAGUUUGGAUCUGCUAAAACCUGAACCACACUGUGCCAAACAUUCUUCCAUUUAAUUGUUAAGCCCUGGUGUGUUCAGCGAGAUUUCUGAUGCAGAUGUUUCUGAUUCAUUUAUAUUAACUUAUCAAAAGGACAUUUGGACGAGCUAUAGGAUGUUCAAGAAGGAGUCUUAUAAGCUUGGGUUUGUUAGUUUUAAUGCAGGAAUUCUACCCCCUACCCAGAUGCACAUACUCAGAACUCAGAACUUGGAAGGACUGACUCAGUUCUGCUCUAACCUGGCAGCAUGAACUCACCCACUCCUAAUUCCCUUCAAAAAACAUUUGCUAAACAUUUAUAAAGGCACCACCAAAAUAUGGGUAAAGGGGGUCAAAGAUAUAAACUUUUAUUUAUAAAAUAAAUAAGUCAUGGGGAAUUACUGUUCAGCCAUGGUGACUACAGUCAAUAAGACCAUAAUUGCAUAUUUGAAAGUCUGCUGAGAGUAAAUCAUAAAGGUUUACACCACAAGGGAAAAAAUUCUGUAUCUAUGGGUGGUGAUGGACACUAGUCUUACUGCGAUGAUCAUUUUGCAAUAUAUACAAGUAUUAAAUCACUGUUGUACACCUGAAAUUAAUGUUAUCUGUCAAUUAUACAUCAAUUAAAAAUAAUUUUUUUUCCUUUUAAAAAGGCAUCACCAAAAUGUAAGAAACUAUUCAGAUACAUCUUAAGUUUUCUCCUUGGUGACCUUUUAUGUACGGAGAUUUAAAAACAAGGCUUCCCCGGUGGCCCAGUGGUUAAGACCUUGCCUGCCAGUGCAGGGGACACAGGCUUGAUCCCUGAUUCGGGAUUUUCCACAUGCCGUGGAGCAACUAGGCCUGUGCGCCGCAACUGCUGAGUUCCUGCUCUAGAGCCCAGCAGAUGUAACCAGCGAGCCCUCGUGCUGCAACUGCUGAAGCCCGCGCACCCUAAAGCCAGUGCUCCACGAUGAGAGAAGACACCGCAGUGAGCUUUUCUUUCUUGAUCCCUCCCUGCCCUUCUCUGGGGCUCUGUUCUUACAUGGUGAUGGGUAUCGCAGGUAAAGCAGGGAUGGGGCAUUCUGCUGAGAGGGUCUCACUCCCUGCACGCUUCUAAGGCCUUGUCUACACCAAAAGUUCUUGGGAGGUUCCAUCAAUUUCCGUCACAUUUUCAAACCACAGUUCCCUCUGGAAGCCUAUCCUCUUAGCAAGUUUAAAGCCACUGGUCACAAAAAUAAACUUAGGAAAAGCUUUGAAAUUGUACAUACACGCAUAAAAGAACAUUAAGAAGAAAGCCAUGCUGGGUGAGAACAAUGGUCCUCCCCACCCAGCCUGUUUCUGGGCACACUGAUUUCCUUAUGCCCUGUGAGGGCUGUUUUUUGUUUUGUUUUCACUUUUAAUUUUUUGAGUUAAAAUCUGGGCUUUUUAUAUCAUUUGUUUUUUUCCUGAUUAUCUGAUGAUCACUUGUUAUUCUUCUGAUGAACACAUUUCACUCUAGAACAUGCAGGAUUUCAAAAGCUGUGCAAAGUAAAAAUUACCCAGUAUCCUAACCCUCAGAUUCAACCCCUAUGAAUAUUCCCAUUGGUCUUUCUCCUCUCUGGUGCCCAAGCGUGUGGCCUGUGUUUACAAAAAUUGAGAUUCUACUGAAUCUUAAAAUUUUAAGUAUUAUUUAUUGUAUUGUAAGCAUUUCUCUAUAUUAUUUUACAUCAUGAUUUUGGUAAGGUUUAACCAUUUUUUUUUGUUCCACCUUUAUUGUGACCCCCCUCCCCCUUCUUACACACCCAUUCUUAUAGCAACUCCCAGGAUGGACCAAGACUGCAAACACAUCACAGGUUGGAUGACCAAGAAUCUUAUCACCCAAGAACCUCUUUAGUGGAGUUUCCCACCCACUUCUGUUAGAGCCCCCAGAGGCUGACAUGUGUCUCAGGAGAGGUCAGACACCCUUGUACCACAGCCGGGAAACCACUUCUCAAGCUGUGCUCUUAGAGGGUCUCAUACACAACCUGCCUCUGCCACCCGCAGCCCGGGGUGAGCCUCUUGGGCUCCGGGUUCCCCGUCGGUGCUCCCAGGGCCUCCGUGGACCAUCAUGGAAGAUGAAGAAAGCUCGGUUUCUGUUUCUGGCCUUGGCUCUGCCGUGUGGGAUCUGAGGAUACAGUUAUUUAGCAAGAAACCACAGGAACAAAAACAAGUUGAUGAAACCCAGAGAAAGUGAGUUCCUCCAUGGAAGGCGGCCGAAUGCCACAGGCUGUGUCGAGACCCACCCCAAACGAACCCUCGGGCUGCAGCUCAGUUCUGUCACCGAGGGACACAUGCUUCAGAGGCCUCCCCCGCAAGCGGAGACCGCGGCUCCUACACCAGAGGACACAGAGCUCGCUGAAAGUACCACAGUGUGGAAAAUGUGCUUCUCAUUUCUUUUCCUAGAAUACUAUUUCCAGAAAGCGGUGUGUGACCAGAACCGAUGACCCUGAGGCAGAGAUGGUCAGAGAAACGUGGGUGUGCAGCCCCGAUGAGGAAGGGUACCAGACCAAAGUAAACCAUGGAGUGUCUCUGCCCGCUUCCACGAGGAUGCUGACAAAGCAGGGUGAACACAGGUUGAAAGAAAAGACAGAAAGGAGGCCUGGGGUCCUCACAGGCCUCAUUUCAGAAUGGUAGACAGAGGUCCAUGUAUGCAAAGCUCUGCCCACUGCAUCACACCACACACACACACACACACACACUUCCUCCCCCCACCCGCCCCACACCACUUUCUAAGAUGGGAUGUAAACCUGCCAUCCUAAGCCAGUUGAAAUCACAAGUCGUUGCCACACUGUCUGAAAUGGAGGCUGUUUUUGUGUGUUAGUUGCUCAGUCCUGUUCAACUCUUUGCGACCCCAUGGGCUUUAGCCCACCAGGCUUCUCCGUCC